CUCCUUUCCCCGCCCUGGGGCACGGGCACAAACUCUGGCUAAAGCCGACCAGGCCGAGCAGUUGAGGAAUGCUGGGUUUGGCGUCAGAAGAGAUGGGACCGGAGAGAAGGGUGUGAAGGAGACCCCAGUAGGGACAGGGUAUUGCAGGUAAAGAAGGGGAAGAAGAGGCCGAGAAGUCAAGGGCCAGGCUGUGAAGGAAAUAAAGGAGGUCAAAGAGAGGUCAUAUCUUCGUACCUCACUUCCUGACACAAACAAGUUUUCACUGUUGUCAGCAACAAAGCCCUAAUAUAGCUGCAGAAGAGAAAAACUGCAUCGCAUUUUGCCUCCUGCAAGCAUCAUCCACAGUUACCAGAGGAAUGUAGUUCCAGAAAGCUUUAAAGCUGGUGGUGAUGGUAAUUAUGUAUCCGAUGCCUGAUUCUAUUUCUGUUAUUAUUGUUUUGUCAUUUCUGUUCUUCUACCCAAGAGCUGGCUAAACUUACACAGGUACAAAUCCGGCUUUUCUGUUUGAUUUGGUAGCAUUUAAUCAGACCUAAUAGAGAACUCAUUGCUCUACUGGAAAAUAAAGUCGGAGCCACGAAAUGUCAUUUUAACAGAGCGUGGGUUUUGUGACUGUGGAAAAGGAUUUAAGGACGCUCCUUCUGUUCGGUAUCCUAUGCAAUGAGCAAAGGCUGCGCGCACGCACAGACGCCACAGCUCCCGGAUGCCCUGGCUGCUUUAUCUGGACUUCGGCAGCGCCAGAAGCCUCUCCGGGAUGCUGCGAGGGGCUCUCGGUGGGUGGUGGUACAAACGCCGCGUCCUCCGCCGCCAGUCCUGCUGCUGUUGUUGCCGCUGCUGCUGCAGUCACGUGGGAGCCCCUUUAAGUUUCCAUAGAGAAGCCUCUCCGGUGUCACAUGAUGGACAUGAUAUAAUGAAACAACGUUGUGGAGAGGAAAGCAUUAGGGGAGCCCAGGCUACGAAAACAAGUGAGUGAGAAGAGGUGGGAGGAAGAGAAACUACGCCACCUCCCCUGCAGCCGAGCCGCGCGCAGCAGCAGCAGCCCGCGAGAAGGGGGCGACGCCAGUAGGGGCGGGGGGCGCGCAGGGAGAGCGGGUCCUCAGCCCCGGCCUGGGGACCCCGCCGCCCACCGCGGAGAGAACAACUUUUAGCCGGCAGCCUCGGCCAGCACUGCACCUGUCUCCGGAGCCUUCAUCGCUCCCUGUGAUAAGCAAAGGGAAAUUCUAGAAGAACAUGCUCUACAAAUGUACAUGCGCAUCGUUUUCCCCCUUGCGUCUCGCUCUGGAGGAAGGAAAGAGAAAGGGAUUUAAGCAGUAGCGUGGGCUCAGCCCCAAAGUUGGGCAGAUCGAAGCUCCCGAAGUUAAAAUGGUCAGUGACGGUCUCUAACUUGUACCCAG